rnacentral:rRNA from 1 species
GUUGACCUCGGAUCAGGUAGGAAUACCCGCUGAACUUAAGCAUACAA